AUUGUAUCCGAUUCAGAAAUGAAGUUGUCCUUCUCCUCCAGUGCUUCUCUCUUUCUUGUCAUCAUCAUCAAUGGUUUCAUUCAGUUCAGUGAAGCACAAGGGCAGCCAGGAAAACCUAACAUUAUAGUCAAUCAGGCUUCUGGAGAUGGGAUAGUCAAUAUCGCCUGCACGUUUAGCCAGGAAACUAAUACAAAUAUCAGCUGUUAUCUGUACACUGGAAACACAUCUGAGCCCUUCACUACAACAUGGACUAAAGGGCGAAAGGUCUGUAAUUUUGACAUACAUAAUACUGACCUACAGAAGCACUUAGAGUCUGCAUUCAGCAGGGAGCUGAGCUGUGAUUACACUGUGAACACAAAGCCACCGACUCGCUCUCCACGGAGUGAUAAAAGUGUAAUAGGAGGUGAGUGAGUUUAAUUCCAUAUUCAUUUUGUAGUAGGAGGAGAAAACAAGGUGUGUGUUAUUAAGUCCUGGGGGUGAGUAGCCAAUAGGAGAGGGCGCUCAGACUAUAAGGGUUACCCCAGCACAGACGCUUUAUGCUCCUUUUCGGUGGUCAUUUUAAUUGUUGGAUUCCCGGUUCGUUCCGGGAUUAGUGGUCGGGACAUCGUGCACCGGUGUGUUCAGCCCCUGGGGGGUGUAAAUAGUACAAGCUGUGACAGGACGCCUGACGCUGGGAAUAAUACGGCGGGGUUCCUCCUAAGGGUCCCG